rnacentral:lncRNA from 1 species
GAAAAAAUUAAGUGCUUUAAUUUUUUUAUUUAAGUAUUUUUUUUUCUCUAACCAUUUUAUUUAAUAAUGAAUGUUUUUUUAGUUGGGGCUAGUGCAAAGAUGACAAAGUAAAUGUUUGAGUGAGAGAUGAAGGAGAAAGGGUUGAGAGGAAUGAAGAGGUGAGUAAGGGUUUGGGGUUUCUUUUUUUAGUUUUGAGAAUGAAAAUUAUUAAAAUAAGACAAGUGUUUCUGAUUUUUUUCAAUUAGGGCUAGAGUAGGGAUGAUAGAGAAAAAGUUGGAGUGAAAGAGAUGAAAGAGAAAGGGUUGAGAGGGAUGAAGGAGGUGAGUAAGAGUUUG